ACCCAGUCCAAACCCUAUCUACUUCAUUCAUAUCACAUGAUCACAAGUCCUACACCCAAUUCACAAUGCCAAUUCACCAUUACAGCCAACAACAUUCUAACUGUAUCACUACAAAAUCCAUUAGAGGACAUCUAAAAUACAUUAAAAAUAUAUAUAGACUCCAUUGACAAAAAGGUCACUGCAAAUGAGAUGUCACUCCAUAACAAAAUUGUGCAGGCUGUUUUCCACAGCAUGAAGACCGCAGGGAAGUGGCUACCAAGGUGGUGCAACUCAUCAACAAGAGUAGCUGCUGGUCCAGAUUCUAAUAUCCUCGCGGGCGAUCCUUUUGCAACUGUAGGUGUAGGCAUGAAUUGCAUUUGAUGUUCUUCACGCAUGCCUUGGCUCAAUUGUCCCUUCCCUCUUGUGCCCACCAUUUUACCCUAUGAAAUCAUGGAAAAAGAACCGAACUGUGAUGACUAUAGGCCAAAUACAAUUAUAAAUUCACACGAUGAAAUGCGAGACAACCAAACAUGGCUGAAAGCAACAAAAAAUAAAUAUCAGUUUCUGCUCUAAAAGAAAGUCAAGAACAAGGCAAACUGCUACGUUAAUAACAGCAUUUGCCAUUUUCUUCAUUCCAGCAUGCCAAAUAAAACAUUCCACUUUUAUCAUCACUUCCAAGUAGCCACAAAAUUUAUUGAAGUACAAGUUAGAAGGCUACUGAAAAGGAGAAGUUCAUAAAUAAUAAUUAAUCAACAAAACAUAUAUAUAAGUCCUUAGUUCAAAAGUUCAGAACUAUCUACGCCUCAUAGUUCAUUGCUACAAAAAUAUAAUUGACACAAAAACUAAAGAAAGACACAGAAUCAUUUCAUCAUAGCAAAAAAUCAUACUCUAACCUGGCCAAAUGACCUGUAAAAAUCCAUGAAAAAAAUUAAUUAAUCUCUAAUAUACACAAUUAACCCUAAUAGCUUUCUUCCACCUCAAAAUUG
rnacentral:lncRNA from 1 species